rnacentral:tRNA from 1 species
GCUCUCGUGGUGGAACGGUAGACACACUAGACCGAGGAUCUAGUCUUUAUGGGUUCAAAUCCCAUCGGGAGUACCA